rnacentral:rRNA from 1 species
GACGAACGCUGGCGGCGUGCUUAACACAUGCAAGUCGAACAGUGGCGAACGGGUGAGUAACACGUGAGUAACCUGCCCUCCACUUUGGGAUAACUCCGAGAAAUCGGGGCUAAUACUGGAUAGCGGGGGAUGGGCUCGCGCCCUAUCAGUUUGUUGGUGAGGUAGUGGUCACCAAGGCGUUACGGGUAGCCGGACGGAGAGGGCGACCGGCGACACUGGGACUGAGACACAGCCGAAACUCCUACGGGAGGCAGCAGUGGGGAAUAUUGCACAAUGGGCGAAAGCCUGAAGCAGCGACGCCGCGUGGGUGAUGACGGCCUUCGGGUUGUAAACCUCUGUCAGCAAGGAAGGGGUACUUGCAGAAGAAGCGCCGGCGAACUACGAGCCAGCCGCCGCGGUAAUAC